UACAGAGGUCUCAAGCGUUGUUCGGAUUCAUUGGGCGUAAAGGGUGCGUAGGCGGCGCGGUAAGUCGGGUGUGAAAUCUCGGAGCUUAACUCCGAAACUGCAUUCGAUACUGCCGUGCUUGAGGACUGGAGAGGAGACUGGAAUUUACGGUGUAGUGGUGAAAUGCGUAGAGAUCCGGCGGAACACCGGUGGUGAAGACGGUCCCCUGGGCCGAGGCCGACGCUGAGGCGCGAGAGCGCGGGGAGCGAACCGG
rnacentral:rRNA from 1 species